rnacentral:rRNA from 1 species
GACAGAGGGGGCAAGCGUUGCUCGGAAUUACUGGGCGUAAAGGGCGCGUAGGCGGGCUGUCAAGUCUGGGGUGAAAUGCCGCGGCUCAACCGUGGAACUGCCUUAGAUACUGACGGCCUCGAGGAAGGUAGGGGCAUGCGGAACUGUAGGUGGAGCGGUGAAAUGCGUUGAUAUCUACAGGAACUCCGGUGGCGAAAGCGGCGUGCUGGACCUUUUCUGACGCUGAGGCGCGAAAGCUAGGGGAGCAAACGGG